rnacentral:sRNA from 1 species
UUCAGCGAUAAAGAAAACCAUUGGCGGAA